rnacentral:rRNA from 1 species
AACGAACGCUGGCGGCAUGCCUAACACAUGCAAGUCGAACGAGACCUUCGGGUCUAGUGGCGGACGGGUGAGUAACGCGUGGGAACCUGCACUUCAGUGGGGGAUAACGACGGGAAACUGUCGCUAAUACCGCAUACGCCCUACGGGGGAAAGAUUUAUCGCUGAAGGAUGGGCCCGCGUCGGAUUAGCUAGUUGGUGAGGUAAUGGCUCACCAAGGCGACGAUCCGUAGCUGGUCUAAGAGGAUGAUCAGCCACACUGGGACUGAGACACGGCCCAGACUCCUACGGGAGGCAGCAGUGGGGAAUAUUGGACAAUGGGGGAAACCCUGAUCCAGCAAUGCCGCGUGAGUGAUGAAGGCCUUAGGGUUGUAAAGCUCUUUCGGUGGUGACGAUGAUGACGGUAACCACAGAAGAAGCCCCGGCUAACUCCGUGCCAGCCGCCGCCGUAACAC